GCGAGCGACAGUCGCCGGGGUACGCGCGCAGGCGCCCUAGGCGGCGAGAGGAAAGAGCGUCCGGAGCCCACCAGGGAGCGGUCUCGGACAGGAGCUCCAAGUGGUGGAGAAGAAUUUUGAAAGUGUUCCUGGGCCAACAGAAACCAGCCUGAUUCAAGCAUUGUCAUGGUCACCCCACUGCCCUGUGGCCUGGACUUUUAGCCUGCAGGUGAACCAGACCCAGCCACAAGACUCAGGACACUAGGAAGCAUGAGUAUCUUGGAAGACUAUAAAUCACAAACAUAGAGAUUAUUUAACUCGUUUGUUUGCUCAACAACUAUUUGUGGUCCUUAACCAGACCAGGCCUAUGCUGAAAUCCAACAUAACGAAGCUUUAUUCUCUGCUCUCCAGGACAGCUCAGUGUUUAGCAGAGUGCCAGGUUCAUGGAUACCAACUAGUGUUUAAAGGCCAUCUUACAUUAACAGAUGAACUCUGGAAAGAUCAGUCAAGAGCAAGAAAACUAUCAAAGCAGGUGAUGCAAGAAUGAAGCUGACUCAGAAACACCCAAUCCCCUCAAGAACAUCUCCAAGAAAUGGAUUGGCCA